GUCCUCGGGUGACAGUGCGCUAGGACAGCAGCGGGCCCCCAGGAGCAGGGAUGCUAGGCCGGCAAGGCGGUGCGAAGCUUGGAAUUGCGGAGAAGAGCGUAGGGAGGAAGGACGGGUAGGGGCCCAGCAGUACAGACUACCCAGGUUGUCUUCUCCUUACAGGUCGCGGAGCGCUACCCCUACGGUCCUGAGGAGGGAUCAGGCGGAUGGGAGUCGGCGUCAACCGGAUGCUC